UACGGGGGAGCAAGCGUUGUUCGGAUUUACUGGCGUAAAGGGCGCGUAGGCGGUCAGCACAAGUCAGUUGUGAAAUCUCCGGCUUAACCCGGAAAGGUCAACUGAUACUGUGCGACUAGAGUGCGGAAGGGGCAACUGGAAUUCUCGGUGUAGCGGUGAAAUGCGUAGAUAUCGAGAGGAACACCUGCGGCGAAGGCGGGUUGCUGGGCCGACACUGACGCUGAUGCGCGAAAGCCAGGGAGCGAACGGG
rnacentral:rRNA from 1 species